AUAUGGAAAAGAAACUCUGAAAGAUCAGACUCCAAGCGAUUCAAGAUAUUGGCAUCAUCGAUGGGAGGUAGAAGAGGUGGUUUCGAUGUUGGUUUUGGAGGACUCAAUGGUGGGAGACCUUAGAGGCAGAAAAGGUGAGAGCUUUUUUCGGGUUAAUAGAGAAGUCUUCAGAGGAAGGAGGAUAGAAUCUUUGGUUGCUGUCGGACAUCUGGCGAAAAAGAAGCCCAAGGUUGUUCUUUUAGGUGCCAAAUGCCAUCCAUUCCCACUGGGACAUAAAAAAGCGGAAAGCACUAGAGAGAUAGUGCGGUCUUUAGUCCAUCGAGCAGUUCAUCUAUCUGCAACAACUACUCUUCGGCAG
rnacentral:lncRNA from 1 species